rnacentral:rRNA from 1 species
CCUGGCGGCUGUAGCGCGGUGGUCCCACCUGACCCCAUGCCGAACUCAGAAGUGAAACGCCGUAGCGCCGAUGGUAGUGUGGGGCUUCCCCAUGCGAGAGUAGGGAACUGCCAGGC